ensembl:lncRNA
UUGGGAUGCAAGCUAGGACUGCCUGUAAAUUUCCAUGUUGUAGCUAGUCCUCCACAGCUCCACUCUCUCUCAACAAUAUCAUGUUGUAGCUAGUCCCAGCUCCACCUCUCAACAAUAUCAUGUGUAUCUAGUCCUCACAGCUCCACUCUCUCAACAAUAUCAUGUUGUAUCUCAGUCCUCACAGCUCCACUCUUCAACAAUUCAUGUUGUAGCUAGUCUCACAGCUGCCACUCUCUCAACAAUAUCAUGUUUGCUAGUCCUCACCUCACACUCCACUCUCUCAACAAUAUCAUGUUGUAUCUAGUCCCACAGCUCCACUCCUCUCAACAAUAAUGUUGUAUCUAUCCUCACCCACAGCUCCACUCCUCAACAAUAUCAUGUUGUGCUAGUCCUCACCCUCCAAUCUCUCAACAAUUCAUGUUGUAUCUAGUCCUCACCUCACAGCUCCACUCUCUCAACAAUCAUGGUAUAUCUACGUCUCACAGCUCCACUCUCUCAACAAUAUCUGUUGUAUCUAGUCCUCAUCACAGCUCCACUCUCUCAACAAUAUCAUGUGUGUACUCUAGUCCUCACAGCUCCACUCUUCAAACAAUUCAUGUUGUAUCUAGUCCUCACAGCUCACCUCUCAACAUAUCUGUGUGUAUCUAGUCUCCACCUCACAGCUCCACUCUCUCAACAUAUCAUGUUGUAGCUAGUCCUCACAGCUCCCACUCUCUCAACAUAUAUGCAUGUGUAUAUCUAGUCCUCAUAGCUCCACUCUCUCAACAAUAUCAUGUGUGUAUCUAGUCCUCACAGCUCCACUCCUCUCAACAAUAUAUGUUGUAUCUAGUCCUCACAGCUCCCUCUCUCAACACAUAUCAUGUGUGUAUCUAGUCCUCACCUCACAGCUCCACUCUCUCAACAAUAUCAUGUUGUAUCUAGUCCUCACCUCAACAGCUCCACUCUCCAACAAUACAUGUGUGUAUCUAGUCCUCACAGCUCCACUCUCUCAACAAUCAUGUUGUAUCUAGUCCUCACAGCUCCACCUCUCAACAUAUCAUGUGUGUAUCUAGUCCUCACCUCACAGCUCCACUCUCUCAACAAAUCAUGUUGUAGCUAGUCCUCACAGCUCCACUCUCUCAACAAUACAUGUGUAUAUCUAGUCCUCAUAGCUCCACUCUCUCAACAAUAUCAUGUGUGUAUCUAGUCCUCACAGCUCCACUCUCUCAACAAUACAUGUUGUAUGCUAGUCCUCACAGCUCCACUCUCUAAACAAUAUCAUGUGUGUAUCUAGUCCUCACCUCACAGCUCCACUCUCUCAACAAUAUCAUGUUGUAGCUAGUCCUCACAGCUCCACUCUCUCAACAAUAUCAUGUGUAUAUCUAGUCCUCACAGCUCCACUCUCUCAACAAUAUCAUGUUGUAUCUAGUCCCACAGCUCCACUCUCUCAACAUAUCAGGUGUAUAUCUAGUCCUCACAGCUCCACUCUCUCAACAAUAUCAUGUUGUAUCUAGUCCUCACAGCUCCACUCUCUCAACAAUACAUGUGUGUAUCUAGUCCUCACCACAGCUCCACUCUCUCAACAAUAUCAUGUUGUAGCUAGUCCCACAGCUCCACUCUCUCAACAAUAUCAUGUUGUAUCUAGUCCUCACAGCUCCACUCUCUCAACAAUAUCAUGUGUGUAUCUAGUCCCAUAGCUCCACUCUCUCAACAAUAUCAUGUUGUAGCUCCUCAUAGCUCACCCUCUCAACAAUACAUGUUGUAUCUAGUCCUCACAGCUCCACUCAUUUCCAUCAGCUGCUAGAUAAAAUAAUCUGUGGUAAAUCACUACUAAAUUGCGCUGUCAUAGUAUGAUAUAAUAUGUCAUAACACACUAUGAUGGUUAGUGAUUACCCACGUUUCAUAGCAGGUAUGCUGACAGGUGUUAAUGGCGUCUUUUACCAACACUAGGAAGACUACGGUAGUGCACGUGAAGUAUAAACCAUUGCUUGAUCUGUUCAUGACUUGUGGCCAAGCCGCUAGCCAAAUGUCGCUUCUCUGUCUGCCAUACGUGUGUUUCCAUGGCGAGAUGGCAGAGAUGUGACAUAGUCAUGCCAAAGUGUUACAGGAUUCUCCUGGCCAAUCAAAAGGCUCACAUUUUAGUGCUCUGAGAAAGAUUAAACCUGAUUGGGGUGGUUGUCACUAGUUACCACAGUACGUUGUAGGGAGCAGUCUGAUAUGUAAAUGAAUAGGGUACAUCCAGAUGGCACCCAUUCCCUAGUGCACUACUUGUGACCUGGGCCCAUAGGGAAGGGUGCCAUUUGGGAUGCAAGCUAGGAUGCCUGUCAAAUUUCCAUGUUGUAAUAGGCCUCACAGCUCCACUCUCUCAACAGUUUAGGCAUAAAGUUAGCAGUGUGGUGAGGUUUAAAAACAGAUUUUUAAGACGAGAAGUUUUAGAAAUCGAUGUGGUUUAGCCAUAAUUAUGACAUUGUGUCUGUGGUAACUAGUGAUGACCGAUUUGGGCAGAAAGACGACAUUAUCAGGAGAUUUUAGUUCAGUGGACUGUCAGAGGAGACGUUGCCCUUUUUGUUCCAAUACUUGAGAAAUGCGUCCUUCCUUACAUUCCUUGAAGUAAUCACAGAGCUGAAGUGGUUGGGUUGGGGAAAGUACCAUGGUGGUACCCUUAAUUAUAGCUGUCCAAUAAGGAAGAACUCAUUUCUAAAGCAUUCAAACAGGCCCAGUGUACUGGAAGAACGCACCUGAACCACUUUGUUUUAUUUCACCUUAACUUUAAAGUCAUUUGAUAUAUUUUUUUGUUUUUUUUUGUCUGGUUUUUAGUAGCAGCUCUUCUGUAGAGCGGCCAUCUUUUUACGUUACCUUUUGUGAACAGAUGCCUGUUUCUUCCCUGGAAAACAAUACAAUACUCGACGGUUCUCAUUAUUUAUGAUUUCUAAACGUUCUCUUAUAUAGUGAGGUUGUCCUCCAAGCAAGUUCCAGGUUCAUUCAAGAGAAUGCUAGGUGAAUGCCGGGUGAAUGCAAGGUGAAUGCCGGAUGAAUGCCGGAUGAAUGCCAGGUGAAUGCUAGGUGAAUGCUAGGUGAAUGCUGGGUGAAUGCCGGGUGAAUGCCGGGUGAAUGCCGGGUGAAUGCCGGGUGAAUGCUAGGUGAAUGCCAGGUGAAAUGCUAGGUGAUUUUAAAGCCUCUGACACCUUCGAAAGUUGAUGCUGCUCUAUUUUUUUUGGGGGGGGGGAUUAUAUGAUCAUUGGAUGCGCUGGAUAACAUUUCUGUCAUUGAAGAAAUGUUAUUUUCCUUGUCAGAAAUGUAUUGUGAGAUUAAUGCAGAUUGAAUUACGAAUGUUCUUUUGUCUUUUUUAUACCCCCCCCCCCCCCCCCCCACUGUAAAACGAUGUCUAACUAUUAAAUGUUAUAGGACAUUUUAUCCCAUAUUUUAAAUACACUCUACAUGACCAAAAGUAUGUGGACACCUCCUGGUUGAAAAUCCCAUUUCAAAAUCAUGGGCAUUAAUAUGGAGUUGGUCCUGCCUUUUGCUGCUAUAACAGCCUCCAGUCUUCUGGGAAGGCUUUCCACUAUAUGUUGGAACAUUGCUGCUAGGACUUGCUUCCAUUCUUCCACAAGAGCAUUAGUGACGUCGGGCACUGAUGUUGGGGGUAAUUAGGCCUGGCUCGCAGUCGGAGUUCCAAAUCAUCCCAAAGGUGUUCGAUGGGGUUGAGGUCAGAGCUCUGUGCAGGCCAGUCAAGUUCUUCCACACCGAUCUCGACAAACCAUUUCUGUAUGAACUUCACUUUGUGCACGGGGGGGCAUUGUCAUACUGACACAGGGAAGGGCCUUCCCCAAACUGUUGCCACAAAGUUGGAAGCACAGGAUCAUCUAGAAUGUCAUUGUAUGCUGUAGCGUUAAGAUUUCCCUUCACUAGAAUUAAGGGGCCUAGUCCGAACCAUGAAAAACACCCCCAGGCCAAUAUUCCUUCUCCACCAAACAUGGAAUCCACCAAACCCAAAUUCGUCCAAUGGCUGAGAGCUUUACACCACUCCAGCUGACGCUUGGCAUUGCGCAUGGUGAUCUAAGGCUUGUGUGCGGCUGUUCGGCCACGGAAACCCAUUUCAUGAAGCACCCGACGAACAGUUCUUGUGCUGACAUUGCUUCAAGAGGCAGUUUGGAACUCGGUAUUAGGCUUCUGCGGCCUACCACUUCGCGGGCGAGCCGUUUGUUGCUCCUAGACGUUUCUACUUCACAGUAACAGCACUUACAGUUGACCGGGGAAGCUCUAGCAGGGCAGAAAUUUAACGAGUUGACUUGUUAGAAUGGUGGCAUCUUAUGACUGUGCCACAUUUGAAAGUCACUGAGCUCUUCAAGUAAGGCCAUUCUACUGCCAAUGUUUGUCUAUGGAGUUUGCAUGGCUGUGUGCUCGAUUUUUAUACACCCGUCAGCAACAGGUGUGACUGAAAUGGCAGAAUCCACUCAUUUGAAAGGGUGUCCAUACUUUUGUAUAUACCGUGUUACAUCACUUCAGUCCAAUAGAACAGUCCCAUGUUCCAAUGUUUACACUAGCAUACAGUAGCACUUAGAAUGCCUGCCCAAUACAUUGCUUUAUACUAAGUAGUGGGUUAGUGUGGAUAUCCGAACCGUACAUAUCCAAGUCAAACAAAGCGGCUUUCUACAUUUUGCUUGAGCAGAGUCCCAAAUGGCAUCCCCAUAUACCCUUAUGGAGUGCCCUUUGGAGUGCCCUAGUGGCUCUGAACCCUCUGCUGUAUGGGCUAGAUGUGCCCUGCACUGAGACAGGGAAUUAGGACUUUUGCGUCACAAACGGCACCCUAUCCCCCUAUGUCGUGCCCUACUUUUGACUAGGGCUCUGGUCAAAAGUAGUGCUCCAUGUAGGGAAUAGGGUGGGAUUUUAUACUUUGCAAUUUACCACAUCUUCAGCACUCUUGAGCAGCGUAGCAGCAGCAGCGUAGCCUAGUGGUUAGAGCGUUGGACUAGUAACCGGAAGGUUGCGAGUUCAAACCCCCGAGCUGACAAGGUACAAAUCUGUCGUUCUGCCCCUGAACAGGCAGUUAACCUACUGUUCCUAGGCCGUCAUUGAAAAUAAGAAUGUGUUCUUAACUGACUUGCCUGGUUAAAUAAAGGUCAAAUUAAAAUUUUAAAAACUCUUUACCAGCAGCAAGCACACAGAUGCUGUCCUGGAACCCACGGCCCUACUGGUUCACUUCAGAUCCAGUUUGAGAUACAUUUUGUUCUGAUUCCAGCCAGAAAACAUAUUUAUCUUUUAAAACACUCCUAUGAGCAUUUCAAUCCUGUGAAGCCCAGGGCUAAUUUAUUAACUGACCAGUGUACACCCCCUCCCUCUGUGGCAGGAUGGUAUGACCCGUUGGCAGAUAGUGCAGUCUACUACUGAAUUUUUUUUUUUUUUUGAUGGAUCGGAAAGAGAUGUAAUUCAUUGAAAUUAUCUUUUUAUUUUGUAAAAAGUGUUUAAAGAAUUAAAAUGAUAUUGCACUGACAUUGAAAAUGUACAUAAAGUGUUUUGUAAAAUACGCCAUUAAAACAGAUGUAUUUGAAUAUGAACUGUAAAAAAAAAAAUACUGUUGUUGUAUAUGGUGUGAUGAAACUGUUGAUCUGUAACUAAUAUCCAAGCAACACAUUCAAUACAACAGAUGCAAUUAAGGCAUUCAGUU